GAUGAACGCUGGCGGCGUGCCUAAUACAUGCAAGUCGAGCGAACGGACGAGAAGCUUGCUUCUCUGAUGUUAGCAGCGGACGGGUGAGUAACACGUGGAUAACCUACCUAUAAGACUGGGAUAACUUCGGGAAACCGGAGCUAAUACCGGAUAAUAUUUUGAACCGCAUGGUUCAAAAGUGAAAGACGGUCUUGCUGUCACUUAUAGAUGGAUCCGCGCUGCAUUAGCUAGUUGGUAAGGUAACGGCUUACCAAGGCAACGAUGCAUAGCCGACCUGAGAGGGUGAGUGGCCACACUGGAACUGAGACACGGUCCAGACUCCUACAGGAGGCAGCAGUAGGGAAUCUUCCGCAAUGGGCGAAAGCCUGACGGAGCAACGCCGCGUGAGUGAUGAAGGUCUUCGGAUCGUAAAACUCUGUUAUUAGGGAAGAACAUAUGUGUAAGUAACUGUGAACAUCUUGACGGUACCUAAUCAGAAAGCCACGGCUAACUACGUG
rnacentral:rRNA from 1 species